CAUAAUAAGUGUUUUUAUGGCACUUUUUUAAAUCCAUAUCCACCUUGUGUGCAAUGUCCAGUCGAUUCUUCUUCAUGGAGAUUGACCAAAACAUCAAACCUUUAUUUUUUUAACUCUUUGUCUGAAAAAAUAUUAUGAAUAAAACAAUUCAAAAUAC
rnacentral:misc_RNA from 1 species